rnacentral:rRNA from 1 species
GACAGAGGUGCCGAGCGUUAGGCGGAAUCACUGGGCUUAAAGCGCGUGUAGGCGGCUCGGUAAGUCCGCUCUGAAAGUCCAGGGCUCAACCCUGGGAUGCGGGUGGAUACUGCCGAGCUCGAGUCCGGAAGAGGCGAGUGGAAUUCCUGGUGUAGCGGUGAAAUGCGUAGAUAUCGGGAGGAACACCAGUGGCGAAGGCGGAUCUCUGGGCCAUUACUGACGCUGAGGAGCGAAAGCGUGGGGAGCGAACAGG